GGUCCUCAUGAUCGGCCGCAUCCUCGGGGGCAUCGCCACCUCGCUGCUCUUCUCCGCCUUCGAGUCCUGGCUCGUCGCCGAGCACAACAAGAGAGGCUUUGACCCGCAGUGGCUGACCAUAACAUUCUCCAAAGCCAUCUUCCUUGGGAACGGCUUAAUUGCCAUUGUAUCUGGGCUAUUUGCGAACCUUCUUGCUGAGAACUUGGGCUUUGGUCCUGUGGCUCCAUUUGAUGCGGCCGCAUGCUUUCUUGCGAUUGGCAUGGCUAUCAUAAUGUCCUCAUGGAGUGAAAACUACGGAUAUCCAUCUGAAAGCAAGGACCUGAUGGCCCAGUUCAAGGUUGCAGCUAAGGCAAUUGUGUCAG